rnacentral:rRNA from 1 species
UACGUAGGGGGCAAGCGUUGUCCGGAUUUAUUGGGCGUAAAGAGCUCGUAGGCGGUCUGUCGCGUCUGCUGUGAAAACUCAGGGCUUAACCCUGAGCUUGCAGUGGGUACGGGCAGACUAGAGUGCGGUAGGGGAGACUGGAAUUCCUGGUGUAGCGGUGAAAUGCGCAGACUAUCAGGAGGAACACCGGUGGCGAAGGCGGGGUCUCUGGGCCGAUACUGACGCUGGAGGAGCGAAAGCGUUGGGGAG